rnacentral:rRNA from 1 species
CGACGAGUUUGAUCAUGGCUCAGGAUGAACGCUAGCUGGAGGCUUAAUACAUGCAAGUCGAGCGGGAUUGGGUAGCAAUACCCAUGAGAGCGGCGCACGGGUGAGUAACGCGUACACGACCUACCUCUGACAGGGGGAUAGCCCUGGGAAACUGGGAUUAAUACCGCAUAUUAUUCUGAAUAAUAAAGGUUUGGAAUGAAAGCUGAGGCGGUCAGAGAUGGGUGUGCGUCUGAUUAGCUAGUUGGUAGGGUAACGGCCUACCAAGGCGAUGAUCAGUAGGGGGCGUGAGAGCGUGGUCCCCCACACGGGUACUGAGACACGGACCCGACUCCUACGGGAGGCAGCAGUAAGGAAUAUUGGUCAAUGGGCGAAAGCCUGAACCAGCCAUCCAGCGUGCAGGAAGAAGGCCCUAUGGGUUGUAAACUGCUUUUAUCAGGGAAGAAACCUCUGGAUUUACUCCGGAGCUGACGGUACCUGAAGAAUAAGCACCGGCUAACUCCGUG